AUGUCAAGUGGGUUCGAAAUCAUUAUUUUAAAGCACUAAAUGGUUUAGCUCCUCAGGACUUGAGCGAUAUUUAUUUUUAAAGAGGCGUUUACAACACAAAAAAACAUUGAAUAUCUAUUUAUCUGUUUAUUUCUUCAUUUUUAAUUUCUGCAGGUUGCGUCCCCCACACAGAGGAAGCCGUCAGCUCUCUUACCAAUGAGGGAAUGGGAAGAGCAGCACCAAAGAAAUAUGCAUCAACAAAAGCUGAUAAAGGCCAAAGCUGUUGUUGA